rnacentral:rRNA from 1 species
AUGAUCUGUUCAACAGGUGAACCAGGAGAACCCAGCACUCUUGAAGAGGCUCUUGGUGAUGCACAUUGGAGAAAGGCAAUGCAUGAUGAGAUUGUGGCACUAAGGAAAAAUAAAACGUGGCACUUGGUUCCUCCAAGACAAGGUAAAAAUCUUAUUGACUGUAAGUGGUGCUUUAGGAUAAAAAGGAAAGCUGAUGGAACUAUUGACCGUUACAAAGCUAGACUCGUUGCAAAGGGCUUUAAACAGAGAUAUGGUAUUGACUAUGAGGACACGUUUAGUCCAGUUGUUAAAGCAGCUACCAUACAUCUUGUCUUGUCCAUUGCUGUGUCUAGGGGAUGGAGUCUACGACAGCUAGAUGUUCAGAACACGUUCCUCCAUGGUGUUCUGGAAGAAGAGGUUUACAUGAAACAACUUCCUGGGUUUGUAAAUGCACAGGCACCACUUCAUGUGUGCAAACUUGACAAGGCUUUGUAUGGACUGAAACAGGCUCCAAGAGCAUGGUAUUCUCGCCUCAGUAAAAAGAUCCAAGCACUUGGCUUUAUUCCUUCAAAGUCUGACACUUCGUUAUUUAUUUAUAACAAGUCAAGAAUAUCCAUAUUUGUUCUCAUUUAUGUUGAUGAUAUAAUUGUAACAAGCUCAUCUGAUGAGGCAAUAACAUCACUGUUGAAGGACUUAAGUGCAGAAUUUGCUCUCAAAGAUCUAGGAGAUCUACACUACUUUCUUGGUAUUGAGGUUAAGCAACACAAGGAUGGUCUUCAUCUCUCUCAAGAAAAGUAUGCAGCUGACUUAGUGAAAAAGGCUGGUCUGCAAAGUUGUAAGCCUGCACCCACUCCUUUAUCUAGCACAGAAAAAUUAUCUCUUGCUGAAGGAGAACUUCUGGACUCAGAGAAUAGUACAAAGUACAGAAGCCUGGUAGGUGCGCUUCAGUACUUGACAUUGACACGACCAGAUAUCUCAUUUGCUGUUAACAAAGUAUGUCAAUUCCUUCAUGCACCUACCACAGUUCACUUGACUGCUGCAAAACGCAUAGUGAGAUAUGUGAAAAAUACAUUGAGCAUUGGUCUGAAUUUUAGCAAAUCAUCCUCCACACUUAUCAGUGUUUUCUCUGACUCAGACUGGGCAGGGUGCUUAGAUGACAGACGCUCAACUGGUGGUUUUGCAGUGUUCUUUGGACCUAAUUUGAUAUCUUGA